rnacentral:lncRNA from 1 species
GUCGGUGAUGACAGGACCUACAAGAAAAAUCUCCAACCGAAUAUGGUUCUGACGGAGAUCCUUCGAUGCUUAAGUUAAAAUUCUAAACAAUAGAGGGAAGGAGUGAGCAUAUUGGGAAAGAGAAGAUUGCAUACCAUGGGGGUCUCCUGUGAGUCUUUAUUUAUAGGCUGAGGUUGAAGAAUCUUGAGGAGGAAGGAGAAUCAGGCGGU